CCCCCCUCAGCGCACCCUUCGGGGGGCGCUGGCGUUGGGGCUCCUCCGCCCUCUGCGGCGGCAGGGCCCUCAAAUCCAGUGGCGGGCCCGGCUGGUUGGCUCCGAGCGCAGUACCGAACGCAAGUUCUCUCCCUCGCUCUGCAGCCCCGGCCGGCGCCCUGCCGUCAAGCCGCGCAGGCGGCCCAGCUCUGCUGGACGCCUCGCAUUUUUUACAAGG
rnacentral:misc_RNA from 1 species